UACGUAGGGCGCAAGCGUUGUCCGGAAUUAUUGGGCGUAAAGGGCUCGUAGGCGGUUUGUCGCGUCGGGAGUGAAAACACACAGCUUAACUGUGUGCUUGCUUCCGAUACGGGCAGACUAGAGGUAUGCAGGGGAGAACGGAAUUCCUGGUGUAGCGGUGAAAUGCGCAGAUAUCAGGAGGAACACCGGUGGCGAAGGCGGUUCUCUGGGCAUUACCUGACGCUGAGGAGCGAAAGUGUGGGGAGCGAACAGG
rnacentral:rRNA from 1 species